GAUGCUGCAGCUGUGACUGUCACCUGGGCACUCAGCUCUGCAGUCGUUCCUUUUAAGACCAAGCUAUAGCUCAAAGUAGUCCAAUAUUCAAAUUUGAGGUCACACCAAAACUAUAAAAUAGAUCUUUGAUGUAGUUGAAAUAAUGAGUAGUAUAUGACAAAAUCCUGCAGAAUAAAAGAGAAAAUGACUCCCCAAACUGUCUUUCAUUACUUCAUGUGGCUUCAAUGCUACCUUUAAGGAGAAGUGAUCUCUUUGAAUGAGCAAGGCUUAUUAGUCAAACAUCAUUUUUAUCAUAGCUACCAUUUACUUACACACCUACUGUGUGCCAAGCAUCGUGCCAGCCAUUUUGUUUCGUUCACCAGGUAUACAAUAAAUUACAAAACAAAUCUAGACCCAAAGGUCAUGGCUCACAGCCUAGCAGAGGACAUAAACUUCAAGCAAGUAACAAAUAAAUUAUUCAAAAUUAUAAUGAAGGCUAUAAAGGGAAAGAAGAGGUUACUAAGUUAAAUUAUAACAGAUGGAGUGUGUAGGGCACCUGUAGGGAAUUUCGUUAACAUGCUUUCAGCUACAAGGAGAAGAAACUCUGAACCAAAGUGGCCUGCGCAAUAAAGAAGUUUCUUUAUUGCCAUGGAGAGCUGGUGGUUUCAGUGGCUCAACCAUAUUAUCAGGUGCCUGGGUUCUUGUUUUGGCUCUGCUGUCCACAGUAUCAAUUUCCUUUUAAGCCUGAGUCUUUUUAUGGUUAUAAGAAGUCUCAAAAAAAAUUAGAUGUUUAUUUUUCUCUCACUUAAAUAGUUGCAACUUGGAUUUCUUGUCUUCUUGGUCAUGUCCAGCAGGAGAGGGAAGGAGGAGUAUGCUAGGACUGAGUCCUUCCCUUCGGGCUAAUUGGUGCACCGUGGCAGAAAGACUGCUAGUUUUGCAUCAAGAUCCAUGAUCCUAAGUUUUCAGUGGGGCACAGAGCCACCUGGAACAAAGAUUACAUUUCCCAGCUUUCCUAAGAACCAGGUGUGCCCUUUUGACUGUUUUGGCAAUAGAGGUAAGUGGAAGUGAUUUCUGGGCUAUAUUCUUACAAGGAAGGGGUGUACCCUUCCCUGUCCCUUCGUGCUUCCUGCUGCUGCAAUGUGAAUAUGAUCUGAAGAUCUACAGCCACAUGUGAAGGUAACAAGGCAAUAUGGACCCUGAGUGCUUGACAGCUAUAACACCAUCCCGGCCCCCGGCUGUCUCCUUCCUCACUUCUUUUAAAUGAGGGACAGAAAUGAAUUUCUGUUUCAUUCAAACCACUAAUUAGGAGAGUUUUCUGCCAUGUGAAGCUCCAAACUAAUAUAUUUUCCUUAAGUCAUUGCCCAGGCAAGGCUGGGUACAGUGGAUCACACCUGUAAUCUCAGUGCUUUCCGAGGCUGAAGCAGGAGGAUCGCUUGAGCCCAUGAGUUUGAGGCUGCAGUGAGCUAUGAUGGCACCUCUGUACACCAACCUGAGCAACAGAGCAAGACCCUAUCUCUGAAAACUAAGGUUGUUGGCAGACAGAGGAAUGCCACGGCUGACCGACUUCUUCCUGAAAUGAGUAGCAGGCCAUCUCUCUUAAGUAUGUAAAAGAAAAUGUGUUGUUCUCUUUUUCUUAUCUGGGGAGUGUCUGGCCACUCAUGAAGAUGUUUCCAGCUGCUUUCAUCCCUUUGUUCCAAGGCAUGGAUUCUAAUCUCUAUAACCAGUAACAUUCAUUGGCAAAGUAUACACUGUCAGGCCUCUGAGCCCAAGCUAAGCUAUCAUAUCCCCUGUGACCUGCACGUACACAUCCAGAUGGCCGGUUCCUGCCUUAACUGAUGACAUUCCACCACAAAAGAAGUGAAAAUGGCCUGUUCCUGCCUUAACUGAUGAUAUUACCUUGUGAAAUUCCUUCUCCUGGCUCAUCGUGGCUGAAAACCUCCCCUGCUGAGCACCUUGUGAACCCCCCGACCCCUGCCCGCCAGAGAACCCCCCUUUUUCCUUUACCUACCCAAAUCUUAUAAAACAGCCCCACCCCUAUCUCCCUUCACUCUUUUCGGACUCAGCCCGCCUGCACCCAGGUGAAAUAAACAGCCUUGUUGCUCAC